UACGUAGGGUGCGAGCGUUAAUCGGAGUUACUGGGCGUAAAGCGUGCGCAGGCGGUUUGCUAAGACAGGUGUGAAAUCCCCGGGCUUAACCUGGGAACUGCGCUUGUUACUGGCAGGCUUGAGUGUGGCAGAGGGGGGUGGAAUUCCACGUGUAGCAGUGAAAUGCGUAGAGAUGUGGAGGAACACCGAUGGCGAAGGCAGCCCCCUGGGCUAACACUGACGCUCAUGCACGAAAGCGUGGGGAGCAAACAGG
rnacentral:rRNA from 1 species